UAAAAUUUUUCGUAUAGUAAAAUUCAUUUAAUAUAUAAAUUAUAUACAAAAUGGUAUUCAAAACCACACUCGUUAGAACCUAAAAAAAUUUAUAUUAUUUAUAAUAUAAAAAAAAA
rnacentral:misc_RNA from 1 species